CUCUUGUCCUGACACCUGAGCUCUCCUGUGUGUGAAGGAUUUCCGCAUGCCCAGAAGACAGCUUCAAGCUUCCAGAGCCAGGCACACUUAUAGAAGAAAGGAAUAAAACCAUUUUACAGAUGUGUAUGCCGAGGCAGCUGAAAGCAAUUGCUGACUUGGGUCAUGGUUUAAGUCAGGGUGGGUUCUGGGCCCCUGGCCCUCACAUGUCCCUACCCAGCAUCCUCUUUACCUGCUCUUCCCCCAUAGUGUCACUUUGUGCUUUGUCCCUGAAGGCUUUUACCUGUCUUCUCCACUUUUCUCAGCCUUGUUUACCUGACGGUUCCUUUCCUUGGUCUUCACUGGCUAAGGUCAGCCUCUGGUGUGUAUGUAUGUGUGUGUGUGUGUGCACAUGUGUGUGUGCAUGUGUGUAUGUAUGUAAGUGGGUGUGUAUGUGUGAGUGUGUGUGUACAUGUGUGAGUGUGUUAUAUGUGCGAGUGUAUGUGUAUGUGUGGGUAUGUAUAUGUGAGUGUGUGUAUGCAUUCUGUGAGUGUAUAUGUAAGUGUGAGUAUGUGUAAAUGAUUAUGUGUGUAUAUAUGGGUGGGUAUGUAUAUGUGUGAGUAUGUAUACGUAUGUGACUUUAUAUGUGUGUGUAUGUGUGAAUGAGUGUGUGUAUGUGUGUGUGUUAACUGAAGCAUGAUCUUGGUGGUAUAUUAUCCAUGUUCCUUCAGAGUUAUGUGUCUAGAAUUCCACAUGCCCUGUUAGGCUAUCAAUUCUUUUGAGGAAAAAAGUUGAUAAAUGGCCUUCGGUGACCCUCAAACUCUUGUGUUCCAAGGGACGAUGAAACGCACAAUCUAACCUGUUCUUCUGAGCCACCUUUGAUGAGCAGAAGAUCUUGGAACUCUCUCUCUCUCUCUCUCUCUCUCUCUCUCUCUCUCACUCAUUCUCUCUCUCUCUCUCUCUCUCUCUCUCAUUUUCUCUCUCUCUCUAGGCUUAAUUUGCCCUCCUUUAAAGUAAGGCUAAGACUCUUUUUUUUUUUUUUAACUUCCAAAAAGCUCUGAGGGUGAAAUAAAGUGUUCACUGGAUUUCAUGGGGCAUAGUUUCUAGUUCUGAACACUCUAAAUUUUCAGGCAAAUCAAUUCUGUCUGUUUAUGGCUGUGUACAUGUCUACUUGUAUACACGUGUAAAUCGGAAUUUAUUUUGGAGACUAGGGUGGUAUAUUUGAGUAUGUAGUACUUGAAUAUGUUAAUUAGAAUUUAGUUGUAAUUCUGUCCUUCCUAUACCCCUUUAUGGGCAGAACAUGAUUGGUCUCCUUUGUUUCAAAUCCAGCUGUGCUGGCACCCAGAGUUCCCCAAAUACUCUCUUCUUUGGUGCAAUCCCAUCUACAAGGCUCUGCAGAACCCCCAUGACAAGUACAGAGCAAAUGCAUCCAUCAAUAGCACGGAAGUCAACAAAGCAGUGUCUCUAUGGGUUACCCUUGGGGACAGAAAAAUGAUCUGCCAUAAAGCCAUUCUGCUCAGCCACAGUGACAGUUCACAUGUAGUGGCAUGUCCACACUUGGGAAAAGGCAGACUCAGAAUUGGCAGGUCUGGGUGGGGCUGGUGUCCUGUUUUUGUGACAAGCUCCUGGGGAUGUCAUUGCUGGUCCAGGGACCACACUUUGCAUAGCAGGAUUAUAAAGAAUCCUCUGUGAGAACAAAUUCCUCCCCAUGUUCGUCCCUGCUGCUGUAUUUGGAGACAGGUGACCACCUACAGCUGUUUCUGAAUUAGGCCAUCAAAUAUACCAGCAGGAAGCGAUCUGGUCUUUCGAUGCUAGACAAUAAGUCCUGGCAGGGAGAGAAUAGGCAGACAGGUUAGAGACUGCAGUGGAUGAGGUACAGUGACCAUUGUUGGAGACAGGAAGGUCCUUCAGGUCUGUGCGACAUUGGUGGAGUCUUUCUGAGGAGAUGACAAUCUCCCACACUCCUGUUACUUCCCCUUUCUCAGCAAAUAAGCUUUGAGUUUGUUAGUGGUUUAAUUUUUUAUUUAUUAAUUUUUAAAGAGACACUUCCCCCCUUUUUUUUUCCUUGGGUCUGGAGUCAUUAAACAGGGAUUAGCUGGAUAAAUAGAGGAAGUGAUUUUUAAACUGUUUGCAAACUUAAUGCGGAGAGCCCAGCCUUGCAAAUUAUCACAUCUAAUCAGAGGCCCUCGCUUCGCUGCUCCAGUAAUUGUAGUGGUAUUCGUCAAGUCCUUGUUGUCUCCUCAUUAGCCGUGAAAAGGAGACUCAAGACAUACUUCAUUAGAGUGUCCUGAAAUGCACGACUAACUAAUGCAGAGAUGGGGUUGGAGGACAGGAGGGCAGGAGGUGUGUAAGAUAGACAGAGUGUCACACCCACAUCUGAAACUGUGAGCUCCUCCUCUCUCUGCUUCAUAUGUGCCUUCUCAGCUUACCUGAGGGGAAGCAGAUGGUGAAGGCAGGGCCCAGGGACUCAACAACUCAGAGGCUGACAUCCAGGGUGGCUCCCCUGAGCCAUUCCUUCCCUUGUCUGGGCUCAGUUUCUCCUGGCAGGGCAGUGAAGGAGGGUGACUGAUUGCUGUCUCCUUUCUGAUGUCCAUGCCCUGGUUCUGAGUUCUGAGACCUGGGAGGACCCAGGCUGCUUGAUGUACACAAACAUUGCCUUCUGCUUCAACCAUUUGGAGGCCUUUCUUGAAAGUUUGAAGACUCCAUGUUGCUGUUGCUAUUCUCUGAAGGAAGGACAAGCUUUGUAGGAGCUCACUUGUAAGUGGAGCCUGCAGUAAAAUAGUCACAACCCAGAGCUGGAGAGUGGGAUAGGAAGGGGAGCAGGGGGAGGGAGAGGAGGCGACAAUAUGAAUGAGGAGCUGGGACAGUGAAGGCAAUCCUGAUUUGAGAAUGCAUCAAAAUACCAUAUCAUAUGCCACAUACAGUGAAAUGCUCAAGGCUUGUGGGCCAAUCCCAAAUAAAGAGAAAAGAAUUCUUUAAUUAUUUCAUUUUCCUUUCUCUCCUCCAUCCCUCCACUCCUUUGUUCCCACGCUGCCGCUCCCUCCCGCUUACCAUCUAUGGUAUGUCUAGUCUGGCAACCAUUUAAAUUUAAAUUAGCUGAAAUGAAACUAAACCAGAUCUGGUAGCUCAGGCCAAAAUCCCAGUUACUCAGGAGGCUGAGGCAGGAGGAUUGCAAGUUCAAAGUCUUUGUGGACCGCAGAGUGAGUUUAAGUCCAUCCCAGGAAACUUCACUAGACCUUGUUUCAAAAAUACGAAGUGAAUCCUGAGCUGGGCUUAGUUCAGUGGCAGAGCCCCUGCUCAGCAUGGACAAGGACCCAAGUUCAAGCCUAGAAUGGCAAACAUGCACAUUGACAAACUGAACCAACCAAAACAUUCAUUUCCCAGUCGACGGGCCACUUUUGGGUGGCUCAACAGCCAACCUCGUCUGCUGGAUGGUAAAUGGAGAUGUGGGCAAUUCCACUGCGCAGCUGGCACCUUGCAGUUUGCCUGGGUUGACAAUCCAUGUGGGAGUGACUGAGAGGGGAAUCAGAGCUGAGACGGCUCCCUUCAUAGUGCUUACACUCUGCUGAGAGGGAGACCGCAAGGCCAUUGUAGUUGGAUGUAGCUGCAGCCAAGCAGCAGGUGAUAGGUACCCCUGCAGUUAACCAGCUAGUGAGCUUCUGAGCCAGCCUAGUGACUGGAGAGAGGCAGAAGAGCAACUUGGUGAGCAGGGACUGCAGCAUCCUGUCUGUUUGCACCUGUGUUUGAGGGUAAGCCUAGUCCCCAGUGCACAGGCCCCACUUGUGAGCUUCAGAUAAAGAUGCCACCUUGGGGACUUGCCAUUCUUCAAGCCAGAGAGACUUCAGAGGCACAGCCCUGGCCACAGCACACUGCUGGAGGCGUCAGUGUGCUGCCAGGCCUUAGUCUGUACGUUGCUCCCACCCACAUCUGUGUCUUUUCUCUCACCAAAACCAGCUCUAUGCACCUUGGCUGCCUUUAGUUUAUUGCUAUUUUUUUUUUUAAGCUUUAUGACAAGGUCUCACUCUGUAGCUCAGGCUGGCUUCAAAGUCAAGACAAUCUUCUUGCCUCAGCUUCAGGGUGUUGUGAUGAUAGUCAGGAGCCACCACGCCCAGCUAUCCUGACUGCCUUUAGCUUUUGAGAUCUGGGCUGUCUUCUGCUCUGGGCUCGGCACACGCUGUUUCUUUGUCUGGGACACCUUUUUCCUGCCUUGUACCCUCCCACUAGGGAAGUCUUCCUUGCCUUGUUUGACCUCCAGGGUCAGACAAGGCCUCCCAUCCCAGCUAGACCCAAACAUAAGCAGCAAUGAUAGGAGGUUCUGUGUCAGCCUCUACACAUAGGUGGGGCUGGCUCCAGAGCAAGAGUGUAGUGGCCAUGCUGUGGGCCAAAGGGUUAACUCCAUAAGGGAGAGGGUUUCAUGAACAGAUAGGCAGAGCUAGAAACUGCCCUGGGUUAGACCCCAGGGUACAACCCCAUGGUGGCAGAGCCCAAAGAGACCAAACAUUCAGGAGCAGGGGCUCAAUAUCAGCUCCCGAGGGACAGUAGAAAUGUGGAUAGUAAUGGCCCAGAGGAGAGCUGAGACUGUAGGGAAAGGGACUUGGACCCAGAAGGAGGAGUGCAAGGCUCAUCUGCGACACUUUUCAGCAGCAUGAUCUUGCACUGCCUUUGGUUUGUAUGCCUUGAGCUUAUUCAUAGGCCACUCUGAGGAUUAAGUAAUGUGGGGGGCAUGCAAACUGCACAGCAGCGGCAGGGGCCUGGCAAACCUGGCCGUGUGGCACCGUCAUGCAUCCAUGAUGACCUCAGCCUGCAGAAUGCUUACAGGUGAGAGACAGUUUCUGGGACCACUGCUUCUAUCAUCUGAACCUUCUGUGCAAGAGGAAGAGGAGGAGCAACAUCAGGUCCAAAGAUAGUGUUUCAGGCUCCUGGUCAGUUAUUGCGGCUAAGGGUGGAGGUAUGAGCCAUUUGAUUCACACAAAGCCAUCUCCCAACCUCAGAGGUGCGCAAGCAGGUCAUGUACCUUUUGUGUUAUUCAGACCUGUCUUUGGCAGGACUACACAAAGAUACGACUUUGAAAUUUGCAGACAGAUGCCUGCAGCCCAUAUCAGUCUCUUGCUAAUACUUUUUCUGCAGGCACCAAGUGCUUGUGAAUUCCGGGUCUAGCCUGUUUUAUCUAGGUAUGAAGGGUCCAUCCCCAACCACAGGGUUGUCCAAGUAACAGUGGUGCAUGGGGCUUGCCACCCUGCUCCCUCUCCUUAUUGAUCCUUCUAGGUGGCAACCGGGGGCAUGACAUAUAACCGUAGGGAGCAGGUUAGCUUGUAGGUUAGCCGCGUCCGAAUCUGAAUUUAGAUGCAAGUCUUAGCGGUGAACUGAGCCCCUCUACCAUCUGAGCUGCAGUUAUGACAACUGUCCAGUGGGGAACUAAUAAUGUCUAGCUUGAGAGCUUGUUCCUGGGAUUAAUGGUAUUUGCACAGUGCCUGCCUGGGAGUCGUGGGCAAUAAAUCCAGCCUCCCCCCCGCA
rnacentral:lncRNA from 1 species